rnacentral:rRNA from 1 species
GAUGAACGCUGGCGGCGUGCUUAACACAUGCAAGUCGAACGAGAAGUGAAGACGGAAACCUUCGGGCGGAAGGCUUUAUUUCGAGUGGCGGACGGGUGAGUAACGCGUGGGUAACCUGCCUCAUACAGGGGGAUAACAGUUGGAAACGACUGUUAAUACCGCAUAAGACCACAGCACCGCAUGGUGCGGGGGUAAAAACUCCGGUGGUAUGAGAUGGACCCGCGUUCGAUUAGCCAGUUGGCGGGGUAACGGCCCACCAAAGCGACGAUCGAUAGCCGAUGUGAGAGGAAGACCGGACAAAUGGGGAAUGGAAAAAGGCCAAAAACCCUACGGGAGGAAGAAGGGGGGAAAAUUGAAAAAGGGGGGAAACCCUGAUGAAGGGACGCCGGGGGAGGAAAAAAGUAUUUGGGUAUGAAAAGCUCUAUAAGAAGGGAAAAAAAUGACGGUACCGGAGAAAGAAGCCCCGGAUAACUACGU